CGGAGGGUGCAAGCGUUAAUCGGAAUUACUGGGCGUAAAGCGCACGCAGGCGGUUUGUUAGGUCAGAUGUGAAAUCCCCGAGCUUAACUUGGGAACUGCAUUUGAAACUGGCAAGCUAGAGUCUUGUAGAGGGGGGUAGAAUUCCAGGUGUAGCGGUGAAAUGCGUAGAGAUCUGGAGGAAUACCGGUGGCGAAGGCGGCCCCCUGGACAAAGACUGACGCUCAGGUGCGAAAGCGUGGGGAGCAAACAGGAUUAGAUACCCUGGUAGUCCACGCUGUAAACGAUGUCGACUUGGAGGUUGUGCCCUUGAGGCGUGGCUUCCGGAGCUAACGCGUUAAGUCGACCGCCUGGGGAGUACGGCCGCAAGGUUA
rnacentral:rRNA from 1 species